rnacentral:rRNA from 1 species
CAGUAGCCGCGGGAAUACAGAGGGGGCUAGCGUUGUUCGGAAUUACUGGGCGUAAAGCGCACGUAGGCGGCUUGGUAAGUUAGAGGUGAAAGCCUGGAGCUCAACUCCAGAAUUGCCUUUAAGACUGCCGAGCUAGCAGGUGAGAGAGGUAAGUGGAAUUCCGAGUGUAGAGGUGAAAUUCGUAGAUAUUCGGAAGAACACCAGUGGCGAAGGCGGCUUACUGGCUCAUACUGGACGCUGAGGUGCGAAAGCGUGGGGAGCAAACAGGAUUAGAUACCCCAGUAGUCCCUGUCUCUUAUAC